UACGUAGGGUGCAAGCGUUGUCCGGAAUUAUUGGGCGUAAAGAGCUCGUAGGCGGUCUGUUGCGUCGGAUGUGAAAACCCAGGGCUCAACCCUGGGCCUGCAUUCGAUACGGGCAGACUAGAGUAUGGCAGGGGAGACUGGAAUUCCUGGUGUAGCGGUGAAAUGCGCAGAUAUCAGGAGGAACACCGGUGGCGAAGGCGGGUCUCUGGGCCGUAACUGACGCUGAGAUGCGAAAGCGUGGGGAGCAAACAGG
rnacentral:rRNA from 1 species